rnacentral:rRNA from 1 species
AACCUGGUUGAUGCCGUGCCAGUAGUCAUAUGCUUGUCUCAAAGAUUAAGCCAUGCAUGUCUCAGUAUGAGUUUUAACACAACGAAACUGCGAAUGGCUCAUUAAAACAGUUAUAGUUUACUUGAUAGUCGAUCGUUAUACGGAUAACUGCGGUAAUUCUGGAGCUAAUACGUGCACAAAGACCUGACUUCAAGGAAAGGUCGUGUUUAUUAGAUACAGAACCAAUCCACUUCGGUGGUUUUUGGAUGAUUCAUAAUAAAGGAACGGAGCGCAUGACUUGUGUCGGCGCUGUUUCAUUCAAGUUUCUGACCUAUCAGCUUCCGACGGUAGGGUAUUGGCCUACCGUGGCAUUGACGGGUAACGGAGAAUUAGGGUUCGAUUCCGGAGAGGGAGCCUUAAAAACGGCUACCACAUCUAAGGAAGGCAGCAGGCGCGCAAAUUACCAAUCCUGAUACAGGGAGGUAGUGACAAGAAAUAACACAGAGAGUGCACACUGCAUUUCUCUUUGGAAUGAGUAGAAUUUAAAUCUCUUUUCGACUAUCAAUUGGAGGGCAAGUCUGGUGCCAGCAGCCGCGGUAAUUCCAGCUCCAAUAGC